AUGAAAUCUUUUUCUCUCCCAAAUCCUGGAAUAGGGUCAGACUGUGCCCUGAGGAGAAAUAGAGAACAGGACUUUGUCAU
rnacentral:pre_miRNA from 1 species